rnacentral:rRNA from 1 species
GAUGAACGCUGGCGGCGCGCCUAACACAUGCAAGUCGAACGGCACCCCUCUCCGGGGGGAAGCGAGUGGCGAACGGCUGAGUAACACGUGGAGAACCUGCCCCCUCCCCCGGGAUAGCCGCCCGAAAGGACGGGUAAUACCGGAUACCCCGGGGUGCCGCAUGGCACCCCGGCUAAAGCCCCGACGGGAGGGGAUGGCUCCGCGGCCCAUCAGGUAGACGGCGGGGUGACGGCCCACCGUGCCGACAACGGGUAGCCGGGUUGAGAGACCGACCGGCCAGAUUGGGACUGAGACACGGCCCAGACUCCUACGGGAGGCAGCAGUGGGGAAUCUUGCGCAAUGGGGGGAACCCUGACGCAGCGACGCCGCGUGCGGGACGGAGGCCUUCGGGUCGUAAACCGCUUUCAGCAGGGAAGAGUCAAGACUGUACCUGCAGAAGAAGCCCCGGCUAACUACGUGCCAGCCGCCGCAGUAA